rnacentral:rRNA from 1 species
UACGUAGGGUGCGAGCGUUGUCCGGAAUUAUUGGGCGUAAAGAGCUUGUAGGCGGUUUGUCGCGUCUGCCGUGAAAGUCCGGGGCUCAACUCCGGAUCUGCGGUGGGUACGGGCAGACUAGAGUGAUGUAGGGGAGACUGGAAUUCCUGGUGUAGCGGUGAAAUGCGCAGAUAUCAGGAGGAACACCGAUGGCGAAGGCAGGUCUCUGGGCCGAUACUGACGCUGAGGAGCGAAAGCGUGGGGAGCGAACAGG